ensembl:lncRNA
CUAGAACUCAAGUAGCUAGUAACUGGCUUGCAGGCCUUGGGAGGCAGAGACUCACCUGAUUUUUUGGUUCUCAGGGCACUGUGUUGGAAAGAAAGAGAACAUUGCCCAGAAAUGCCUUCUUCUCUCUGGCUUUCAAGUCAAUUUUUUGCCUCAAGCUGACAUUUUGACCACUUCGUGCAUCUCCCUCUCCUAAUCUUCACACAUAUUCUUCUUUGAUAAUACGUAUUUUUUCCUAUACUACAGUCUGAAAAUAGCAGAGAUGCCUGGAUGCUGUGUUAUUCCUGAAAAUAGCACAGCAUAGAUUCUAGUCUGAAAAUAGCAUAGAUGUCUGGAUACUGUGUUAUUUCAUUAAUCUAAUAAUAAUUCCAAUAAUAUUCUGCUUUCACUCUAUAUGAAAGCUUCUUUUAAAGUUCGCAUAAAUGCGCGUGUUUGUGUGUGAAAGAAAACCACCUCACUUUUAGGACUGGAGGUUCAGAAGAAUUUCUCGACACAGGCAAGUUGAGAACUGAAUUUGAUGUUUUGGAAGGAAAAUGGGGAUUCCCAGGUCCUUUUGAAGUUGGCAGACAGCAGACAUCAGUAUCAUCCAUCAGAUUAUUCAUCAGUAUUAUUAUUUUCUUCUCUUCUGUUUUGGAGUAUAUGAAGGAUGAUACUCCUCUGGUAUGCCCUUGAAUUAAGAAGGGCCACGUGACUCGCUCUGGCCUGUAAGCUGUGAGCAGAAGUUCCUCGUGUGAUUUUACAUGUGGGCUAUUCCUCCUCAGAGCACCUCUCUCAGAAAUUGUCUGGUUGCACAAAACCAGGAAGAAAUAUCCAGAAAUCCUAAAAGGCCAGGAAGAACAUUUGUACAUGCAAUUUGAGGAAAACUACACUCUCUGGAUGGGAGAGAUCUCUUCGUCCAGCAUGAAACAUAUCGUACAAAGACCUAAUCGUAGAGAAGAGGCCUCCAUCUAUUUCAGACAAGGUGACCUUGAGGAAGUCUGAAGGAGCAAGGUCAAAUCUGCCCAAUUACUGGGAACUUUAUAAAAGUCUUGAGACCCUUGAGAAGUAUAUAGAUCCCAAGAAGAAUCUGGUCAAUAAAGAAAUAAAUCUUAAAGUUUUCUCUACACAUACAUGGAAUAUCUCCAGUCAAAUAUAAUAUUACAUGGGCUGAGAAUACCCAGGAGAGGAAAGAUUGCAAUGAUUCCAAUGUGAAUUUCAUGGAUUUAAGUUGAAAGUUAU